AGUGAACGCUGGCGGUAGGCCUAACACAUGCAAGUCGAACGGCAGCACAGUAAGAGCUUGCUCUUACGGGUGGCGAGUGGCGGACGGGUGAGGAAUACAUCGGAAUCUACUUUUUCGUGGGGGAUAACGUAGGGAAACUUACGCUAAUACCGCAUACGACCUACGGGUGAAAGCAGUGGAUCUUCGGACCUUGCGCGAUUGAAUGAGCCGAUGUCGGAUUAGCUAGUUGGCGGGGUAAAGGCCCACCAAGGCGACGAUCCGUAGCUGGCCUGAGAGGAUGAUCAGCCACACUGGAACGGAGACACGGUCCAGACUCCUACGGGAGGCAGCAGUGGGGAAUAUUGGACAAUGGGCGCAAGCCUGAUCCAGCCAUACCGCGUGGGUGAAGAAGGCCUUCGGGUUGUAAAGCCCUUUUGUUGGGAAAGAAAAGCAGCAGGUUAAUACCCCGCUGUUCUGGCGGUACCCAAAGAAUAAGCACCGGCUAACUUCGUG
rnacentral:rRNA from 1 species